CAGCACUUUCCCCUUGACAAGUGAAAUUGUCUGGCGUUAGACAGAGUAAAAUAAUCUUGCGUUUAAUCAAGCAGCUACUUUUUCAAAAGCUCAACCAGGCUAAAGAUUCUUUGAUUUGAAAACCAAAGUGAUAGUGAACUAGUUAGUUGAAACAAACAGAAUUGUUUGAUUUAUUUACUUCCCACAACAUUGACAAUUAAAAUUUAAUUUGAUACUUUUCCAGUAUAUUGACAUUAUAUAGGUUCAGAUUUGACUACCAUUACCAUUAAGGGACCAUCAACCAAUCAAAUGCAUUUGAUAUAUUCGAUCAACCAUUAUAAUGAAAGUGUGAGUUUAUUCAUAAACUAAUUAUAAAUCAACUUCCAUGCAAUGCUUCAUGCAAUCAUCUAGUUAUGCACCAGUCAAUGUAAAUCCCUGCCCCCAACCGGGGAGGGGCGAAAGGUUUAGCAGGGAAAGUAGUCAGUUUUGAUUAUAAAUUUGUCCCCGAUGAUGGGAGACUUGGACAGUGGUUAACAUAUAUAUCCUGUGUUGCUGUUUUAGUUUUGACAAGAAAAGUUUAAAUACAACAACAUAAAUGAAUUUGAUUUUCUAUUGCUGAUCUAUGAUUAUACAAAACUAUUUUCCUGGGGUUGAGAGACAUGCAGGGGACAUCAGGGUCUUAGCUAGGAUUUUAGAUCUUGGGUGUGUUUCUAAAUUACCAGGGUGUGCACAUGUCAAUUACCUUGCAUAGCCAAUUUUACGGUUCUACAACAACGGACAAUGCCUAUGGUUGUUCUAUGCUUUGCAACCAAAUACAAGGCAAGCAUAUACUCAUUUUGCUCACUGACAUUAAAAUAUUAAGUUAUUUCAGCAACUCUUGGGGGUAUUUAAAACCAUUUUAACACCAUACAGUUCCCAUUAUCCAUCAAAACAUUAAAACAUCACAGAUCACUUUUGCCAAUUUCAACAACAACAGAUUUUACAAACUUUCUUAUAACGUAAAUAGAAAUAAACUCUGUCUGUUGCAAGUAGCACAUCUUAUUUUAUGAACAUACACGGCCUUAUAUAAAUAAUGAAGCCGCGUUCAUUUUAUCUAGCCGUGUUUUUCCAUUUUUGGCCGUGAUAACACGGCUAACACGGCCCUCUAGCUAAGACCCUGGGGGACAUUGAUGUCCCUGGGGGUGGGGACAAUUUCUCUCUUUUACUACCCCUCCAAGUCAAAAUCCCUGCCCCUCCCUGGUUGGGGGGUUUACAUUAACUGGUGCAUUAAUUAAAGAAGUGUCAGUGCCACAUAUGUAGUAAAAGCCAACUUG